GAUGAACGCUGGCGGCGUGCUUAACACAUGCCAGUCGAACGAAGCAUUUAGGACAGAUUACUUCGGUUUGAAGUUCUUUAUGACUGAGUGGCGGACGGGUGAGUAACGCGUGGGUAACCUGCCUUGUACUGGGGGAUAGCAGCUGGAAACGGCUGGUAAUACCGCAUAAGCGCACAAUGUUGCAUGACAUGGUGUGAAAAACUCCGGUGGUAUAAGAUGGACCCGCGUCUGAUUAGCUAGUUGGUGAGAUAACAGCCCACCAAGGCGACGAUCAGUAGCCGACCUGAGAGGGUGACCGGCCACAUUGGGACUGAGACACGGCCCAGACUCCUACGGGAGGCAGCAGUGGGGAAUAUUGCACAAUGGAGGAAACUCUGAUGCAGCGACGCCGCGUGAGUGAAGAAGUAAUUCGUUAUGUAAAGCUCUAUCAGCAGGGAAGAUAGUGACGGUACCUGACUAAGAAGCUCCGGCUAAAUACGU
rnacentral:rRNA from 1 species